UACGUAGGGGGCAAGCGUUGUCCGGAUUUAUUGGGCGUAAAGAGCGUGCAGGCGGCCUGACAGGUCUGCUGUGAAAACUCGAGGCUCAACCUCGAGACGUCGGUUGAAACCGUAUGGCUAGAGUCCGGAAGAGGAGAGUGGAAUUCCCGGUGUAGCGGUGAAAUGCGCAGAUAUCGGGAAGAACACCCGUGGCGAAGGCGGCUCUCUGGGACGGUACUGACGCUGAGACGCGAAAGCGUGGGGAGCGAACAGG
rnacentral:rRNA from 1 species